AUUGAACGCUGGCGGCAGGCUUAACACAUGCAAGUCGAGCGGGGUGAUGGUGCUUGCACUAUCACUUAGCGGCGGACGGGUGAGUAAUGCUUAGGAAUCUGCCUAUUAGUGGGGGACAACAUCUCGAAGGGGAUGCUAAUACCGCAUACGUCCUACGGGAGAAAGCAGGGGAUCACUUGUGACCUUGCGCUAAUAGAUGAGCCUAAGUCGGAUUAGCUAGUUGGUGGGGUAAAGGCCUACCAAGGCGACGAUCUGUAGCGGUUAUGAGAGGAUGAUCCGCAACACUGGGACUGAGAGACGGCCCAGACUCCUACGGGAGGCAGCAGUGGGGAAUAUUGGACAAUGGGGGGAACCCUGAUCCAGCCAUGCCGCGUGUGUGAAGAAGGCCUUAUGGUUGUAAAGCACUUUAAGCGAGGAGGAGGCUCUUUUGGUUAAUACCCAAGAUGAGUGGACGUUACUCGCAGAAUAAGCACCGGCUAACUCUGUGCCAGCAGCCGCAGUAA
rnacentral:rRNA from 1 species